AGAGUUUGAUCCUGGCUCAGAUUGAACGCUGGCGGCAUGCCUUACACAUGCAAGUCGAACGGUAACAGGUCUUCGGAUGCUGACGAGUGGCGAACGGGUGAGUAAUACAUCGGAACGUGCCCGAUCGUGGGGGAUAACGGAGCGAAAGCUUUGCUAAUACCGCAUACGAUCUACGGAUGAAAGCAGGGGACCGCAAGGCCUUGCGCGGACGGAGCGGCCGAUGGCAGAUUAGGUAGUUGGUGGGAUAAAAGCUUACCAAGCCGACGAUCUGUAGCUGGUCUGAGAGGACGACCAGCCACACUGGGACUGAGACACGGCCCAGACUCCUACGGGAGGCAGCAGUGGGGAAUUUUGGACAAUGGGCGCAAGCCUGAUCCAGCCAUGCCGCGUGCAGGAUGAAGGCCUUCGGGUUGUAAACUGCUUUUGUACGGAACGAAAAGACUUCUUCUAAUACAGGAGGUCCAUGACGGUACCGUAAGAAUAAGCACCGGCUAACUACGUGCCAGCAGCCGCGGUAAUACGUAGGGUGCAAGCGUUAAUCGGAAUUACUGGGCGUAAAGCGUGCGCAGGCGGUGAUGUAAGACAGAUGUGAAAUCCCCGGGCUCAACCUGGGAACUGCAUUUGUGACUGCAUCGCUGGAGUACGGCAGAGGGGGAUGGAAUUCCGCGUGUAGCAGUGAAAUGCGUAGAUAUGC
rnacentral:rRNA from 1 species